rnacentral:rRNA from 1 species
UACGAAGGGGGCUAGCGUUGCUCGGAAUCACUGGGCGUAAAGGGCGCGUAGGCGGCGUUUUAAGUCGGGGGUGAAAGCCUGUGGCUCAACCACAGAAUGGCCCUUCGAUACUGGGACGCUUGAGUAUGGUAGAGGUUGGUGGAACUGCGAGUGUAGAGGUGAAAUUCGUAGAUAUUCGCAAGAACACCGGUGGCGAAGGCGGCCAACUGGACCAUUACUGACGCUGAGGCGCGAAAGCGUGGGAGCAAACAGG